UCUCAGUUUGCACUGGCAGUCUCGUUAGAGUUCCCGACAUGACUCGCUGGCAACUAACGACAGGGGUUGCGCUCGUUAUAGGACUUAACCUGACACCUCACGGCACGAGCUGACGACAACCAUGCAGCACCUUGUAAUCUGUCUUGCGAAAGGCCUGUUUCCAAGCCGGUCAGACUACAUUUAAGCCUUGGUAAGGUUCCUCGCGUAUCAUCGAAUUAAACCACAUGCUCCACCGCUUGUGCGGGCCCCCGUCAAUUCCUUUGAGUUUCAUUCUUGCGAACGUACUCCCCAGGUGGGAUACUUAUCACUUUCGCUUAGCCACUCAGGUUGCCCCGAACAGCUAGUAUCCAUCGUUUACGGCGUGGACUAC
rnacentral:misc_RNA from 1 species